UACGGGGGGGGUAAGCGUUGUUCGGAAUUACUGGGCGGAAAGGGCUCGUAGGCGGCCAACUAAGUCAGACGUGAAAUCCCUCAGCUUAACUGGGGAACUGCGUCUGAUACUGGAUGGCUUGGAUUCGGGAGAGGAAUGCGGAAUUCCAGGUGUAGCGGUGAAAUGCGUAGAUAUCUGGAGGAACACCGGUGGCGAAGGCGGCAUUCUGGACCGAUAUUGACGCUGAGGCGCGAAAGCCAGGGGAGCAAACGGG
rnacentral:rRNA from 1 species